rnacentral:lncRNA from 1 species
UAUUAUAUGCCCAGUAAUCGGUAUCCCUGGUGUUCCUUCCUUCUGCUCCCUAUUAUGACUUUUUGUCCCCUGUGGAGUCAGAUUUCCUGAGUCGAAAUAUACCUUUUUAGGUCUUCCUCGAAUGUUUUUGGAUGUUUGAUAUCUAUCACCCUCAUACCAGUCUUAGAUGUUCAUUCUCCUCGAGCGUGUUGUUCUAUCACCCUCAUACCGAUGUUUUGAUCACAUGUCUCCUUGAGCUUAUUACCCAGUAACCGGUAAUACCUCAUCCUGUUGUUUCCUCUGAUGAGUCAUGUUUGGACAUUUCCCAGUGAAGUCCCUUAGUGGAUGUUCCGCAUUUGAGUCCGGAUUUU